rnacentral:rRNA from 1 species
UAAGGAAUAUUGGUCAAUGGACGGAAGUCUGAACCAGCCAUGCCGCGUGCAGGAAGACUGCCCUAUGGGUUGUAAACUGCUUUUGUACGGGAACAAACGUCGGUACGAGUACCGGUCUGAGUGUACCGUAAGAAUAAGGAUCGGCUAACUCCGUGCCAGCAGCCGCGGUAAUACGGAGGAUCCGAGCGUUAUCCGGAAUUAUUGGGUUUAAAGGGUGCGUAGGCGGGAUGCUAAGUCAGUGGUGAAAGACGGUGGCUCAACCAUCGCAGUGCCGUUGAUACUGGCGUUCUUGAAUGCGGAUGAGGUAGGCGGAAUGUGGCAAGUAGCGGUGAAAUGCAUAGAUAUGCCACAGAACACCGAUUGCGAAGGCAGCUUACCAAAUCGUUAUUGACGCUGAUGCACGAAAGCGUGGGGAUCAAACAGGAUUAGAUACCC